rnacentral:tRNA from 1 species
CCGGCGGUAGCUUAAUGGUGGAGCGCUCGGCUGUAGACCGAGAGGCUGUGAGUUCAAAUCUCACCCGCCGGA